AGAGUUUGAUCCUGGCUCAGAACGAACGCUGGCGGCAGGCCUCAAACAUGCAAGUCUAGGGGGUGUAGCAAUACAUCACCGGCGGACGGGUGCGUAACACGUGGGAAUAUACCUUUUGGUUCGGAACAACGCAGGGGAAACUUGCGCUAAUACCGAAUGUGCCUUUACGGGGAAAGAUUUAUCGCCAAAGGAUUAGCCCGCGUCCGAUUAGCUAGUUGGUGAGGUAAUGGCUCACCAAGGCUCCGAUCGGUAGCUGUUCUGAGAGGAAGAUCAGCCACACUGGGACUGAGACACGGCCCAGACUCCUACGGGAGGCAGCAGUUGGGAAUCUUGGACAAUGGGGGAAACCCUGAUCCAGCCAUGCCGCGUGAGUGAUGAAGGCCUUCGGGUUGUAAAACUCUUUCGACGGGGACGAUAAUGACGGUACCCGUAGAAGAAGCUCCGGGCUAACUUCGUGCCAGCAGCCGCGGUAAUACGAAGGGGGCUAGCGUUGUUCGGAAUUACUGGGCGUAAAGCGCGCGCAGGCGGUUUUUCAAGUCAGUGGUGAAAGCCCGGAGCUCAACUCCGGAACUGCCAUUGAAACUGUGAAACUUGAGGAUGAGAGAGGUGAGUGGAAUUCCCAGUGUAGAGGUGAAAUUCGUAGAUAUUGGGAAGAACACCGGUGGCGAAGGCGGCUCACUGGC
rnacentral:rRNA from 1 species